rnacentral:rRNA from 1 species
UGGGGAAUUUUGGACAAUGGGGGAAACCCUGAUCCAGCCAUGCCGCGUGAGUGAAGAAGGCCUUCGGGUUGUAAAGCUCUUUUGGUCGGGAAGAAAGGGUCCCCUUGAAUACGGGGGAUUUUUGACGGUACCGGCAGAAUAAGCACCGGCUAACUACGUGCCAGCAGCCGCGGUAAUACGUAGGGUGCGAGCGUUAAUCGGAAUUACUGGGCGUAAAGAGUGCGUAGGCGGUUCGUUAUGUCUGCUGUGAAAGCCCCGGGCUUAACCCGGGAAUGGCAGUGGAAACUGGCGGGCUUGAGUGUGGCAGAGGGGGGUGGAAUUCCGCGUGUAGCAGUGAAAUGCGUAGAGAUGCGGAGGAACACCGAUGGCGAAGGCAGCCCCCUGGGCUAACACUGACGCUGAGGCACGAAAGCGUGGGGAGCAAACAGGAUUAGAUACCCCUGUAGUCC